rnacentral:lncRNA from 1 species
GCUUUUCUUUCUGUUGGAUGGCACUCAGCAACAGUAUUCACCAUAUUUUUCAUUAUAUCUCAUAGACAUACUCAUGAAAGAGGACUCCCAGAACUGCUUCAGAAAUAGCAAGAACUGUGGGAUAAAUUUGUUUGAAGCAAAAGGUCUACUCCUUUGUGUGAAAUAUUUAACAAAGACACAGACGUCUGAUCAGGGCCUGCAGAUCUUGCCAAGAUGCACUGUGAGCAAGACUUGCCAGUGGGUGGUGAAACACGGGUCAUCCUGCAGUCCACAUCUGUGAAGCCAGGAAUAGGUAGGUGGAGGCACAUAGCCUAGGGAUUGUGUGCU